UACGUAGGUGGCAAGCGUUGUCCGGAAUUAUUGGGCGUAAAGCGCGCGCAGGCGGUUCUUUAAGUCUGAUGUGAAAGCCCACGGCUCAACCGUGGAGGGUCAUUGGAAACUGGAGAACUUGAGUACAGAAGAGGAAAGCGGAAUUCCACGUGUAGCGGUGAAAUGCGUAGAGAUGUGGAGGAACACCAGUGGCGAAGGCGGCUUUCUGGUCUGACACUGACGCUGAUGCGCGAAAGCCAGGGGAGCGAACGGG
rnacentral:rRNA from 1 species